AUUGAACGCUGGCGGCAGGCCUAACACAUGCAAGUCGAACGAGUGGCGGACGGGUGAGUAAUGUCUGGGAAACUGCCCGAUGGAGGGGGAUAACUACUGGAAACGGUAGCUAAUACCGCAUACCAUCGGAUGUACCCAGAUGGGAUUAGCUAGUAGGUGGGGUAACGGCUCACCUAGGCGACGAUCCCUAGCUGGUCUGAGAGGAUGACCAGCCACCCUAGAACGUCGACACGGGCCAGACUCCUACGGUAGGCAGCAGUGGGGAAUAUUGCACAAUGGGCGCAAGCCUUGUGCAGCCAUGCCGCGUGUAUGAAGACGGCCUUCGGGUUGUAAAGUACUUUCAGCGGGGAGGCGUUACCCGCAGAAGAAGCACCGGCUAACUCCGUGCCAGCAGCCGCGGUAAUUC
rnacentral:rRNA from 1 species